rnacentral:rRNA from 1 species
CAUACGGGAGGCUGCAGUGGGGAAUAUUGCACAAUGGGCGAAAGCCUGAUGCAGCAACGCCGCGUGAGCGAUGAAGGCCUUCGGGUCGUAAAGCUCUGUCAUCAAGGAAGAUAAUGACGGUACUUGAGGAGGAAGCCCCGGCUAACUACGUCCCAGCAGCCGCGGUAAUACGUCGGGGGCUAGCGUUCUCCGGAAUUACUGGGCGUAAGGGGUGCGUAGGGGGGUUUUUAAGGCAGAGGUAAAAGGCUACGGCGCAACCGGAGUAAGCCUUUGAAACUGGGGAACGUGAGUGCAGGAGAGGAGAGUGGAAUUCCUAGUGUAGCGGUGAAAUGCGUAGAUAUUAGGAGGAACACCAGUGGCGAAGGCGGCUCUCUGGACUGUAACUGACACUGAGGCACGAAAGCGUGGGGAGCAAACAGGAUUAGAUACCCUUGUAGUC